GGGGCUGCUUUGGAUUCGACAUUCGGGUUUCGAAGUAUCUAUUUUAUCAACAUUUAAUGUUGAUUUCUUAAAAUAUAAAUGCAAACAACAUUUUAGCUUUUAGUCCUGUUUUAAAAAGAAAUUUAGUUUUAGCUUAAAAUUUUGGAUAGACGUUGUUUAAUCUUAAAUCUGUAAUUAAAACUACGUUUACACUCGUAAUAAAUAGAUGCGCAAGAUAAUAAUUUUGCAAAGAUAACAUUAGAAAUUAAACAAAAACUAAAGUAGCUUAAAGAACUUAAACGAAGAUCUGAAAUGGACGUGGGUUCAAAUCCCACCAGCUCCAA
rnacentral:tmRNA from 1 species